GAUGAAGAACGCAGCGAAAUGCGAUAAGUAAUGUGAAUUGCAGAAUUCAGUGAAUCAUCGCAUCUUUGAACGCACAUUGCGCCCGCCAGUAUUCUGGCGGGCAUGCCUGUUCGAGCGUCAUUUCAACCAUCAAGCCCUGCUUGCGUUGGGGUCCUGCGGCUGCCCGCAGGCCCUGAAAACCAGUGGCGGGCUCGCUAGUCACACCGAGCGCAGUAAUACAUCUCGCUUUGGGCGUGCGGCGGGUUCUUGCCGUUAAACACCCCCUUUUUACCAAGGUUGACCUCGGAUCAGGUAGGAAUACCCGCUGAACUUAAGCAUAUCAAUAAGCGGAGGA
rnacentral:misc_RNA from 1 species